rnacentral:rRNA from 1 species
AGAGUUUGAUCCUGGCUCAGAAUAAACGCUGGCGGCGUGCCUAACACAUGCAAGUCGAGCGGGAAAGCCCGCAAGGGUGAGUACAGCGGCGGACGGGUGAGAAACGCGUGAGAAUCUGCCCUUUAGUGAAGAAUACUCCCGAGAAAUCGGGCAUAAUACUGCAUACGUCCCUCCGGGGAGAAAGAUGGCUUUAUGCUGUC